UCUGCGUUGGUCCUGGCUUCCUGGAAAGGAAGGAGUUUUUCACCUCCUCCUAUGAUAAACUUAAAGCCCAGAAAGAGGUCAAAGACCUUCUGGUAAGCCAUACACACAAUUCAGUCCAUGCAAGUCAAAGCAACUUUCCUUCCUUGUACAAGUUAUUAACACAAAUGCUGUUUCUGUAGGCAAUUGAAGAUGCCUUCAUGCCAGUGAUCAGACUCACCUAUGAUGGAAUGGAGGUCAAUUAUCUGGAGCAUAAGGAAAAAUGUGUAUUCACCUGUAUAUGAGUUCAGGUCUUUGUUUGCAUGUGUUGUAGUGACUGGUUUGUGCUUGUGUUAUAUUUAGAUGGACCUAUUGUACGCCUGUGUGCAUCAGAGGAGCGUCCCAGAGAACAGAAACCUCCUUGAUGACAAGUUUGUGAAGGCCAUGGAUAAGCAGUGUGUGAGGAGUCUUAAUGGCUAUCUGGUCACAGAGGAGAUCCUCCGAAGUGUGCCGAGUGUUUUUACCUGUUGGCUGACUUUGAGCUGUCAAGAUGUGGGCCAAAUGCCGUAUGAUUUAUUCCAACAAGCUGGGCUUCCUCGGAGUUUCCUGGGCCAUCAUGGUGGAUAGUCAGAAUCAGGAUAGUCAUCGAUCUCCCUCGCCCGGACGUGGGUCACUGGGGCCCCCUCCUGGAGCCAGGCCUGGGAGUGGGGCUUGAUGGCGAGUGCCUGGUGGCUGGGCCUGCACCCAUGGGGCCCGGCCGGGCACAGCCCGAAGAAGCAACAUGAGCCCCCCCUCCAAUGGACUCACCACCCGUAGGAGGGGCCGUAGAGGUCGGGUGCCUUGUGUGUCGGGUGGCGGCCGAAGGCAUCAUGGUGGCAAGAAUCUGUCAAUUGUACCCCAGCGUAUCAGCAUCCAUUCUGGUGCACAAAUUCUUCAAAGUUUUCAACACGUGGGAGUGGCUGAUCACAGUAAUGUUGAGGAGAAUGGUGGACCAUGGUACCAGCCUCCCAGUGUGAAAUCCAAAGAUUGCUGAGAGAAGAAAAAAAUGAAAGCAGCGGAAAGGGAAUGAAAUCAACAGAACGAGCAAGAGAAGAGGCUGGUGGAGCAGAGGGCUCACAUUCAAAAGGAGUUUGGGAAAGAAACGCAAGGAGAUGGAGGUGAGGAUGAACAGCACUCAGCUCUGAGGAGUCAGCGACUCUUCUCUCCCUGUGCCAAACAGAACGCUCCUGAGUUGAGAGGAGCCAGCAAGCUGCAGUGGCAGCGUCCAGGCAACUGAUGAGGAUGGUGCUGCAUCUCCUGCCCCUGCCCAGCAAGGCCACCUGUGAGGAUGAGGACACCAUCCUCAGCCUUCCUCCCAGACAUUGUUCUACACCACAGCUUCAAACGAAAAGAAGUGGUAAGCUUUCUCCCCAUUAUAUUUAUUUUUGUGUGUGACAUGAAUGUGCUUUCAUGACAUAUCACAAACAUUUUGUGAAAUGACUUAUCUGUGCUUGUGCAUUACUUCUGUCACCUUAGAAUUUGCAGCUGCUGACAUGGCAGUUUUUGGAGUGAUUUCUCUAAGCCUUUUGCCACUGCAUGGACAGAAAAUGCCACCAUAUUCCAUGUCACUGUAGUUAGGAGUUGACUAGGAUGCUUUAACACUGGUUAAAUGGACAGAACGACUUUGUUACAAUAACAUUUAGGCUCCAUUGAAAAGUUGCACCUGUUUUUACAUUCUUUGCUGAACUCAGAAACCCAAGACUUGAGAUGAAGAAAAAUGUUAGGUAAUGAAGUUUUAAAAAGGAUUAUUAAAAAAAGUAUAGUCAAACUAUACAAAUAAAUGAGGUGAUAUUUCUGUUUACUUUAGAAGUUAUUAUACACUGUAUGCUGUGAUUCUGAUCUGGGAAACAUUAAA